GCUCAGGUUGAACGCUAGCGGGAUGCUUUACACAUGCAAGUCGAACGGCAGCGCGGACUUCGGUCUGGCGGCGAGUGGCGAACGGGUGAGUAAUGUAUCGGAACGUGCCCAGUAGCGGGGGAUAACUACUCGAAAGAGUAGCUAAUACCGCAUACGCCCUACGGGGGAAAGGGGGGGAUCUUAGGACCUCUCACUAUUGGAGCGGCCGAUAUCGGAUUAGCUAGUUGGUGAGGUAAAGGCUCACCAAGGCUGCGAUCCGUAGCUGGUUUGAGAGGACGACCAGCCACACUGGGACUGAGACACGGCCCAGACUCCUACGGGAGGCAGCAGUGGGGAAUUUUGGAC
rnacentral:rRNA from 1 species